rnacentral:rRNA from 1 species
GAAUUGUAAUUUCGAAAUGCAUUGCUAACAAAAAUGCAAAUGGUGGUUUAUUGGAAAGAACAUGACAAAGGGUGAGAAUCCCAUGUGUCAUUUGUGUUUUUUGUGUACGGUGUGCAUUUAUUGAAUCACAUUCUUUGACAAUGGAAUGUAAAUUGGGUGGUAAAUUUCAUCUAAAGUUGAAUAUGUUGUUGAAACUUAUAGAAAACAAUUACCAUGAGGGAAAUAUGAAAAGGAUUUUGAAAAGAAAAUUAAAAGAGUUUGCAAUUGCUAAAUUGAUAAGCAAACAAAACAUAUUUGUGUGCAAGAUUGUUGUAAUCAUUUGUUGUCAAACACAUGUGUUACAAUGGUUUUUGUGUAUUUUGCCAAUAUCCAAAUUUGGAAUGAUCACCCUUGGGUAUGAUUGGAAUUUGGUUUGCUAGCCAAGGAAUGUAUCUUGAAAAGAUCAUCCUCAGUUUG